GACAGAGGAUGCAAGCGUUAUCCGGAAUGAUUGGGCGUAAAGCGUCUGUAGGUGGCUUUUUAAGUCCGCCGUCAAAUCCCAGGGCUCAACCCUGGACAGGCGGUGGAAACUACCAAGCUGGAGUACGGUAGGGGCAGAGGGAAUUUCCGGUGGAGCGGUGAAAUGCGUAGAGAUCCGGAGGAACACCGACGGCGCAGGCAGCGUCCUGGCCGCUUGCUGACACUGAGGCACGAAAGCUGGGGGGAGCAAACAGG
rnacentral:rRNA from 1 species